rnacentral:rRNA from 1 species
UACAGAGGUCUCAAGCGUUGUUCGGAUUCAUUGGGCGUAAAGGGUGUGUAGGUGGCGCCGUAAGUCGGGUGUGAAAUUUCGGAGCUUAAUUCCGAAACUGCAUUCGAUACUGCGGUGCUUGAGGACUGGAGAGGAGACUGGAAUUCAUGGUGUAGCAGUGAAAUGCGUAGAGAUCAUGAGGAAGACCAGUGGCGAAGGCGGGUCUCUGGACAGCUCCUGACGCUGAGGCGCGAAGGCUAGGGGAGCAAACGGG